rnacentral:rRNA from 1 species
CCUACGGGUGGCAGCAGUGGGGAAUAUUGGGCAAUGGGCGCAAGCCUGACCCAGCAACGCCGCGUGAAGGAUGAAGGUUUUCGGAUUGUAAACUUCUGUCGCCAGGGACGAAGAAUGACGGUACCUCGUAAGAACGCGCCGGCGAACUCCGUGCCAGCAGCCGCGGCAAUACGUAGGGGGCAAGCGUGGUCCGGAAUGGCAGGGCGUAAAGGGGGUGUAGGCGGCGUUGUAAGUUAGGUGUGAAAUCCUACGGCUUAACCGUAGAACUGCAUCAAAAACUGUGAGGCUGGAGUGCAGGAGAGGUGAGUGGAAUUCCGAGUGUAGCGGUGGAAUGCGUAGAUAUUAGGAGGAACACCAGAGGCGAAGGCGACUCACUGGACUGUAACUGACGCUGAGGCUCGAAAGCGUGGGGAGCAAACAGGAUUAGAUACCCCAGUAGUC